rnacentral:lncRNA from 1 species
GGGUUUGGAUUUGAUUUGGGUUUGGGUUUUGAUUUUAUUUGUGGGAUGGGUUUGAUUUUGGGUUCGGGUUUCGGUUAUUUGUGGACUUGGUUCAGGUUGGGUUUGGAUUUGAUUUGGGUUUGGGUUUUGGUUUUAUGUGUGGAAUUGGUUUGGGUUUGGAUUUAUUUGGGUUCAAGUUUGGGUUUAUUUGGGUUUUGGGUUUAGGUUUAUUUGGGUUUUGGGUUUGGGUUUAUUUGUGGACUUGGUUUGGUUUUGAUUUGGGUUUAUUUGUAGAUUUGGUUUGGGUUCUUAUAUGGACUUGAUUUGGAUUGGGUUUGGGUUUAUUUGUGGAUUUAGUUUGGGUUCUUAUGUGGACUUGGUUUGGGUUAGGUUUGGGUUUGAUUUGAUUUAGAUUUGUAGGUGAACUUGACUCGGAUUUGGAUUCGUAUGUGAACUUGAUUUUCUUUUCAAUUCUAUUUCGGGUUCGAGGCAAUCCUCUUUUGAUUUUGCAAUUUGAUUCGGAUCCGAAGAAAUCCCCUUUUGAUUUUGGUUUGAUUUGGGAUCCAAAGAAAUUCCCGUUUGAUUUCGAUUUGGAUUUGAUUUUCCAAUUCGAUUUGGGGUUCGAAGAAAUCCCUGUUUUAUUUCGAUUUGUAUUUGAUUUUCCAAUUCGAUUUUAUUUGGGGUCCGAAGAAAUUCCCGUUUGAUUCGAUUUAAUUUGGGGUCCGAAGAAAU